UAAACUCCUGUUGUUGAGGAAGAUAAUGACGGUACUCAACAAGGAAGUGACGGCUAACUACGUGCCAGCAGCCGCGGUAAAACGUAGGUCACAAGCGUUGUCCGGAAUUACUGGGUGUAAAGGGAGCGCAGGCGGGAAGACAAGUUGGAAGUGAAAUCUAUGGGCUCAACCCAUAAACUGCUUUCAAAACUGUUUUUCUUGAGUAGUGCAGAGGUAGGCGGAAUUCCCGGUGUAGCGGUGGAAUGCGUAGAUAUCGGGAGGAACACCAGUGGCGAAGGCGGCCUACUGGGCACCAACUGACGCUGAGGCUCGAAAGUGUGGGUAGCAAACAGGAUUAGAUACCCUGGUAGUCCACACCGUAAACGAUGAUUACUAGGUGUUGGAGGAUUGACCCCUUCAGUGCCGCAGUUAACACAAUAAGUAAUCCACCUGGGGAGUACGACCGCAAGGUUGAAACUCAAAGGAAUUGACGGGGGCCCGCACAAGCAGUGGAGUAUGUGGUUUAAUUCGACGCAACGCGAAGAACCUUACCAAGUCUUGACAUCCCUUGACGAACAUAGAAAUAUGUUUUCUCUUCGGAGCAAGGAGACAGGUGGUGCAUGGUUGUCGUCAGCUCGUGUCGUGAGAUGUUGGGUUAAGUCCCGCAACGAGCGCAACCCUUAUGGUCAGUUACUACGCAAGAGGACUCUGGCCAGACUGCGUUUGACAAA
rnacentral:rRNA from 1 species